rnacentral:rRNA from 1 species
UGGGGAAUUUUGGACAAUGGGCGAAAGCCUGAUCCAGCAAUGCCGCGUGUGUGAAGAAGGCCUUCGGGUUGUAAAGCACUUUUGUCCGGAAAGAAAUCCUCUGGGUUAAUACCUCGGGGGGAUGACGGUACCGGAAGAAUAAGCACCGGCUAACUACGUGCCAGCAGCCGCGGUAAUACGUAGGGUGCAAGCGUUAAUCGGAAUUACUGGGCGUAAAGCGUGCGCAGGCGGUUUGCUAAGACCGAUGUGAAAUCCCCGGGCUCAACCUGGGAACUGCAUUGGUGACUGGCAGGCUAGAGUAUGGCAGAGGGGGGUAGAAUUCCACGUGUAGCAGUGAAAGUGCGUAGAGAUGUGGAGGAAUACCGAUGGCGAAGGCAGCCCCCUGGGCCAAAUACUGACGCUCAUGCACGAAAGCGUGGGGAGCAAACAGGAUUAGAUACCCUGGGUAGUCCACGCCCUAAACGAUGUCAACUAGUUGUUGGGGACUUCAUUUCCUUAGUAACGUAGCUAACGCGUGAAGUUGACCGCCUGGGGAGUACGGUCGCAAGAUUAAAACUCAAAGGAAUUGACGGGGUCAUA